UAGCAUAGCAAAAUUUGUAUCAUAAGUCACAGCAUAUAUGCACAAAAACUUAGAAUGAACUAACCUCUUGUACAGGUUUGUUAUGAUCUUUUGGGUUCACAAAUUCAUUAACCCCAAACUUCUUAGCUUCCAACAAUAGUAGAUGAGAAAAUACCAUCAGUAAGUGAAUACAAUUUGUAGAUUUAGGAAACUUGCUCAACUUAGGUUGUGAGGUUGUGACUUCUUUUCUUUUCAAUAAACAUUAAAGAGAAAAAUGAGUCAAGUUAAACAAGCUAUUGUAGAAAAGCUAGCAAUUGGCAAACUUUAUCCUAAGAACUUUGAAAGCAAGUUGGAGAAACCUGAGUUGGCUUGUUUGUAGAAGCUGACCUUCAUGAUGUUCAAUACCAGUAAAACAAAUCAAUUAUUCAACAGAGAAUAUUUAAAAUUUCUCUAUAACCAUGCUUCAAUUUAUAAUAUAAGGCUAGCAAAUGAAUCACAAUCUUUUAAUGAUGGUUUUAAAAAAAAAGAGAUAAAAAUGACAUAGAAAAGAAAUGUCACAGGCACAGCAUUGCAUGCAAGUAACCAAUUUUAGACCUACAGAAAAUAACAAUUCCAAACGAAAAUAUAAAGAAGUGUCAUAUACCUUUUAAGAUCAACCAGAAUCAGUGGCUCCCAGUUCUGCAUAUGACGGAUGUUCCUUUGAAAUCAAACUCCAUUUUUGCAAUGUCAAGCUCCAUUUCUUCUUUGUCUCACUCAGCCAUCACUAACACCAACAAAAAAAACUUUGUUAGCUCAUUACAAGAACUUAAUUAGGACUAAUUAGGAGAUUAUAGGCUAUAGCAAUAAGUUGCCCUCCUCUUACUGCUUAGUCAAACUUUGUUAGUACCUUCUCUUUCUUGCUCUGUUACCAUAUUUCAACAAAUUACAUUGUCAAAAGAACACAACCAUGUCUAUACUCUAUGGACUUGUUAGCUACUUUGGUUCUCUCAGUUUAAACAUUACUUUUGGUACAUGGCAAGGGAAUUGAAAUAGCAGAAUCUGUAUAGAAGCUAAGUUUAUAUUAUGAAGCUGAUCGAUCUGUGAUCAUUUGCUGAUAACAGAAAUGCUUACUAAAUUUAAUUUGCUUGUAGCAUAGCAAAAUUUGUAUCAUAAGUCACAGCAUAUAUGCACAAAAACUUAGAAUGAACUAACCUCUUGUACAGGUUUGUUAUGAUCUUUUGGGUUCACAAAUUCAUUAACCCCAAACUUCUUAGCUUCCAACAAUAGUAGAUGAGAAAAUACCAUCAGUAAGUGAAUACAAUUUGUAGAUUUAGGAAACUUGCUCAACUUAGGUUGUGAGGUUGUGACUUCUUUUCUUUUCAAUAAACAUU
rnacentral:lncRNA from 1 species